rnacentral:lncRNA from 1 species
GCAGCUUAAAGCAGUGGUCCCUGCCACAAUACCUCAUCGGCCCAUGCCGAGCCGACUCCUGGCCCAUGCCAGCCGUCGUGCCGCACCACCCCGACGGCUGCCCCGCGGUAGCACCAUCCAAGAAGAAGACAAGGAAAAUUAUUUUUUUCUUACCUCAGUGCGGCACGAAGAAGACGAAGAAAGCAACGAAAGACGGUCAUUUGCACGAGCAAGAUGUAGAAGAUUGCUAGAGGAGGGGGAACAAAUAUCCUCUAAGCUAUCUCUCUCUGUAGGGUAGAAUAAAUCGCUCUCUGAUGCGAAAAUUAACUUAACACACAAAUUAAACCCUCUUGUUGUCAAUUGUAGUAUAAAUGCAAGUAAGGAUCGUUCUAAACCGAGGAUUAGAAGGGCUUGCUAAAACCUCUAAACUGACUUAAAAACAUAUAAACAAAGUUAAAAACACUAAACUAGACUCAAAGAACUUAAAACAAACUCAAAAGACUCAGAACAAGCUAAAAACGCUCAAAUCUGCCUAAAAACACAAACUGGGCAGAUUUGGACUCUAACACACUUUUGGGACACCUAAAAACAUAAAUCAAAACAGAUUUUGACUAAUAAAACACUUUAAAGUAAAGGGGGUUUUGGUUUUGAUGAAUUUGAAAACAAAACAAGUGAAUUAAAGAACUAAUGAAAUCUGCACGAAUUUGAGUAAAUUGAAAUGAUGGAAGGCUAGCUAGGAGAUUCUUCUCCACACAUGACAUACUUGCACAUAAACCAAUUUUCAGUUGUUCUUUUGAUCAAUCAUGAAACUCACCACCCAAGGUUAAUUAAGUCCGCUUAAAUUAACCUUCAAGUUCUCCUUAAGUUAUUGAAUUGGAUGGGAAAGCGCAUACAACAAUUCAAGCAUUCUUCAAAAGUUCUUUACGUGAACAGCACAAUAAAGAUACAAUCAAAGAUCAUUAAGCAUUAUGAAAACUAUAAGUAUUGACGAGGCAUUCGUUACUAUGAUGAGCAUGAAACUCCUGCCAAGAAUUUAUUUAACGCGAUCGUUUAUAAGCGACCCCCACUACUUGUGAAUAUAAGUUUGUAACUAUUAGGUAAAUCUCCCUUAUACUCUAGCAUCAUAUUCAUGCAUGCAAACUAAUUGUGCACUCUUAAUUAACAUACAUGAAUAAGUUAUCAAUCAAGCAGUUAAACAAAUUGAAUUCACAACUUAUGAAAUCACAACUGAAGGUAAUCAAAUCAUAUUGCAAGCAUGAAUAUGGUUUCGAAUUCCCCCCUAACUAAGGGGGGUUAAGUUCCUCAUACUCACAAAGCAAAGAUAAACAAAUUUAGACAUUGAAAACAAAAGAAUGAAAACACCUAAAAACGCUCCAACAAUCCAACUUGAAUGACAAGCACAUCCAAGGGUCCUCCUUCUUCUAUUUAUAGGCUAGGGAAAUGACCACCAUCUAAUUAAGGUGGUAGUGGUGUAUGUUGUGGUAAUGAGUGGAUGUAAUGGGUGUAGUGGGUGGAUGUAAUGGGUGUAGUGGAUGGAUGUUUGGUAAUGAGUGGAUGUAAUGGGUGUAAUGGAUAAGUGUUUGGUAAUGAGUGGAUGUAAUGGGUGUAGUGGAUGGAUGUUUGGUAAUGAUUGGAUGUAAUGGGUGUAGUGGGUGGAUGUUUGGUAAUGAGUGGAUGUAAUGGGUGUAGUGGAUGGAUGUUUGAAGUUGUAGGUUAACACACUUGCACACACACAUGCUGAUUUCUAGCCUUCAAAUCUUCAAAAACGUCCAUCCUCAUGUCCCCAUGCUUGCACUAUCCAAUCUUGGCCCAAAAAUGCUCCAAAAUGCUCCAAAUAGCACUUUGUUGCUAACUUUGUUAUUUGAACCUAUAAACACACGAAAAUAACUUAAAAUACAUAAUUGAGUAAGAAAUAACAACAUAAAUGCACAAGAACAAACUAACUAAGUCGCAUAAAUAUGCUCCUAUCACUCUCCAAAGUUUAUUUAACAACCCACUUCAGGUGGACUUAAAUAGGUUUUGAGAGAAAUUUAUUUCCCUUUCCUAGAAGGAUCUAAUUUCACAUUAAAAAGGGAAUCUACAUCAAAAUAGGAAGCAGUUCUAAGUUUCGUAGAGCAAGAAGAUCUCUACACCUGCUGCCCUUUCCUACAAGCAGCCCAGCAAGUGUGGGGGCAUUUGUGGAGCCAAAAAUAAUCAUAAGGCGACACGUGGAUUUUUUAGUAAAACAUGACCAAACUACCCUUGAGGCACACCGGGAUUCCUACACGCGAGCAGCUAAAAAAUGCUCCAAAAAGGUAACAAUUCAAUAUUCAUCUCAUCAAAUCCUGUAACCUCCAAAAUAUUUACUCCAAAAUUAUAUUAAUUGGUUAAUUAAUGGAUUAAUUACCCAAUUAAUCCUUUAAACAUCAAUUAAAACAUCCAAAUAACCACAACAUAUAUCCCACUCAAUCCCAAAACUAGUGAUGGACCGGCCACCCCCUUUUUCCCUAGCUUUUCACACUUUUUUCCAUUUUAUUACCCUAUUUACACAACUAUUCAAUUUUGUAACCUCCUAUUUAUUUCUUUUAUACUUAAUUAGCCAAUAAAUUGGCUAAUUAAGCCAAAACUAUAACCACCAAAACCCAUUAGUGGCCGGCCACACCUUGGGAAAAUUGGGCAAAGCCUAACCCUAUAAAUAGGCACCCAUUCUCACCAAAAACCUAUUCGAACACUUUGUCAAAAAUCCCAAAAUUCUCUAAACACUAUUUCUCUCUAAAUUCUAACUUUGGCAUCGGAGGUUCUUCGGCCAAAACCCCUCAUCGUGGGCGCGUGAGGCUCUUGACCUUAACCUAAGGUGUUAAUUGUUUUGUAGAUGCAAAAUUGUCCAAGAUCAAAGAGGAAGAAAUUUGCAUCCACAGACCUUAUGAUCAGAAUCAUCAAUUUGGAAGCUCCAUUGGUGCAUCAAACCAACGAGACAUGUCCAAGAUCACCACUAUUGCAAGAAACGAGGUCACAUAAUUGCAGAUUCUUGUAAGCUGCAGAAUGUAAAUUCUCCCUGAAAGUUAGACACAGGUCAUCUUGUUGCUCCCCUAGAGACGCCUACUGAAUUGGAGACAAUGACAUGAUAACGGAAAAUCAAAGCCUAGCUCAAAGGUUUGGUCUAGUUAAAAGUAUAUAGCUCAAGGAUAGGAUUGGUCCAUAACCAAACAUGUGGAUAAACAUUUUAAUUCUUGUAAGAUUCUUUACACUAAUCGAAUGGGUUUUGGUAAAUUUAUCAUCUUCGGUUUCUUGCUAUUGAUUAAAAAAAAUUAUUAGACUAUUGGAUUGUUGAAAUAAGGUUAUUCGAAAAUCGUCCUAUGUUACAUAACUUUAUAUUAUGCAAUUUCAUUCUUUUACAUUAAUGGAGAUUAAAUAACAAAACAAAAUUAUGACUAAUUAAGGUUCGGCUUACAUAAAUGACCCACUACUGAAUUACUAUUGAUUUUAUGACCCCAUCUCAAUAUUGUUGUUAAAAAAAAUAGAUAACAAAGUUGGAUUAUAUCUUGUGGUAGUACAUUGUCAAAUAAACAAAGAAUCAUCCAUAAAAAAGGGGCAUAAUUCGUCAAUGAAAAAUGAGGUCUACAAAUUAAUGUGGAUCAGUAGGAUUUGACCAAGAAACAAACCCUAAUAUCAUCACCUUUCCUAGUACUUGAAGGAAACAUAAUGAUGACUUGCUGAAUGAUCAGGAUCUAAAGGUGAUGACAACGACAGAUUUACCAAGGAUUAAGGAAAGAGUAAUGAAAGCUAACCGUGAAAAUGGAGAAGUCCAGUUUUUUGGUUGCCAAUAUGCAAAAACAUGACAAACGAUUGUACCCAUUGUGUUCUUUUUUAUUCAUUUUUUCUUUCUUGAAAUGAAAAGUAAAUGCAGCUAAAAUGGAAUUUGUGCUUUUUCCAGAGGCACAACAAAUUUAAAAGGGUUAAUCUCAGUUUACUACCCUGAAGUUUAUGGGUUUUUAACAUUUGAUGCAUGAAGUUUUUUAUCCCAUAGUGGUACCUGAAGUUGCAAUUUUGGAAUACUUUAAUACAUCCGUUAAAGUUGCUGUUAA